ACGGCUCCCUGAGCUGCAGGUGGCUACCAGCAGCCCAGAGUCUACUUUAGUCUGUUCUGCAGGCUGGAUGUGUGGACCAGCGCUUCAUUUCAUGCCUGAUGUGUGGUCUAAAAUUGUCCUCGCAAAAGAAACGCCUAGAGGAAAAUGCACUUUCCCACAACUUCCAGAGGCACUGAGUAAUAAUGGAUUUCAGUGUUGCUGAGCUCCUUGAAGAUCAAGUGCAACCCCUGAAGGUGGGUAAAGUGAGGUUCAGGGCGUCUCCGAGGUGUCUCUUGAUACUUGCUGGCAGAACGGUUUCCCUUCAGUGUCGUUAAGUGCCGUCCCUUCCAUGGGGUGUACAACCCCUCGGGGCUCUCUGGAGUCAGUCUGUUGUUCUCUGUCUCUGUGCUGAGUAACCCUGGAAGGCCAAGCCACAAGAUUCUGUGCGGAGAUUCGGAAAAAAGAGAAAACAUCGUGGGACGUGUAUGCUAUCCUUAAAGCCUCCGCUUUAGCUCUGAG
rnacentral:lncRNA from 1 species